CAAGAGAUGAAUCUUCAUUUUUUACUCAUAGGCUGGACUACUCGGACUGGCUAUUGAUUUUCUGUCUGAGCCCAAAGACGGACAGAGAUUAGGGGUAUCAUCAUUCAAACUGCCGACUUUAAUUUUCUCUUUUGUUUUCUCUCUAGCCAUACCUGCAGUCCUGGAGUCCUGAUCUUACCUUAUUAAUGUUUUCCAGGAGGAACCCUCUGAUCUCCUGUAGAGAGACGGCUCCUUCGCAAAUUCCUGGUGAGCAAUAAAUCCCAUGACUCCGUCUCUUCUGCCUUUGGAGGGGCUGACGAGAGUACUUCUUAUUCCUAAGCAUGAAAUUUGUUCAACGAUGCGAAGAAGAGGUAUAAGUAAUGCAGAGAAGAGGUGUAAGUAAUGCAAAGAAUGCUGACUGAAAAGGUGAAAUUGCCUGUGGAAUCCCAUUGGAAGUUCACUUUCAACAAGAUAUCAUAAAUGCAUAUUGUGUCUUAUUGAGUCGAGCACAUUCCAUCUUGCAUGAACAUAUCUUUGAAAGUCUAUCCUGUCAGUGACCUCAGUCAUGUCUGCUGGGAUGAGAAUCAGCAGGUUCUAUUGGGGCAGAAUAAUCCUGGAUGCAUCAGAAGGGAUCAGAGAGAUAACAUUGGAGGAGCUGGGUUUUCUGCUUGAGAAAGUGCUGUGGAAAUGUACCUGUCUGCUCAUGACCAUGUCUUUUGUCAAUAAGAGGUAAUCUGUUAAAUGUCUGCUUUUUCACAUGAGCCAAUCUUCUGGAAUUCAAGGAAGAAGUAGAUGGAAAAGUACUCGUCUUGUAGUUUAAGACUAAAUAACUCAGACAUUUGAAAGUGAUCAUUUAUUUUCAUAUUUUUCCUUGAACAAUUCUGAACUCUUUAAAUAAUAAUUCCUUCCUAUAUUUUCCUUCUCAUUUUCAUUUUUAGUCUGCUUCCACCAACUCCCUUGCUACUGUAUAAUCCUGUAACAUUCAUUCUUCUUAUCUCAGGAAAUGUGUGGUCUAGGCAAAGACGGUGAGAUGGAGCUCAAAGCUGGAGAAGGGAAGGAAAGCUGGUGCUUUCUAAUGAGUGUCAGUCAAACCAUGUCCAUCUGUGGCCAGAUAGUGGAGGACGGCAUGUGGGGCUUGGAAAGAAAACAUCUCUAUAUUUUUUGUAAGUUUGUUUUGGCCUUCCCUGGUGGCUCAGUCAGUAAAGAAUCUGCCUGCAAAGCAGGAGACCCAGGUUUGAUCCCUGGUUUGAGAUGACCCCUGGAGAAGGGACUGGUUGCCUAUUCCAGUAUUUUUGUCUGGAGAAUGCUGUGGACAAAGGAGCCUGGUGGGCUACAGUCCAAGAGGUCACAAAGAGUUGGACACAACUGAAUAAGCACACACAGCCCACACGUGUUUUCUCAAUAUAGACUCUUGAAAAGCUAACUUUGAGUGUAUUGGAACUAGGAGAAAUGUGAUUUGCCCACACUCUGUUGAGAAUAGUUACAGGGUAGACUGUCAGAUGAGGGGUAGGUAGCAUCAAGACAGCCAGCCCUGAAAAGGAGGGGAGUCAGGAGAACCAGUGGGGAGGGGGCAGGUGGCAGCGAUGGGAGAAAGGAAGCAGAAAGCCAGGAUGGACUACAACAGACACAGGUGGACAUGCCACCUCCCUUCCUGAGUCUUUGAAUGCAGGCUCUUUCCAAUGGUGGGUACCUCUUCUCCCUCCCCAACUUCCCGGGGUUGCAAAGAGUCAGACAUGACUUAGCAACUAAACCACUACCACCUCCACUCUACUGUCUGCUAAUAUUUAAGAAAGAGACCCCCAAAAGCUGAAAUGCGGCCUUCUGUGCCGUCCCAUCUUUGGGACAUACAGGAAGGUGAUCUCGGAACCCCUGAUGCCAGUCUCUGUGCACAUUUUCUCUUGGGAUGGUCAGAUUUCAAGUGAAGAAGAUUUUGUCCUGUACAGGGUACGAGCCUGGCUGCCAAUAUCCUAUAAACUGAGUGCUUAUACAGAAUCUCUGGUCUUAAUAUUCAAUGGCCAAGUGGAUUUUGACCUGACCAUCUAUUUUCAAUAGGCAUCCCCAUCUCCCACUGUCUGUUCUCCCUUAUCCCAGAGAUCAUUCAUCCUGUCCUGAGAACAAAUCUCUGGGUUUCCACCAAGGUGUGAAAAUACCGAGGCCAAGCUGUGCUAAGUGAGAACAGUGCGGGCAAUUUGACAGUCUGAGUGUUUCUCAUACAGACUUUCAAAUAACCACUCUUGUUUUCAGCUCUGCUGUCAUUCCCAAUGUAUAAUUACCUAUAGUGCUGCCAAUUUCUAAUUAUUAGAGGGGUUCCACAGUGCAAAUCAUGUUCAGCUUUUACCACUGGUGAGUUUAGUAUUCAUUUUAAUUCCUGCAGUGUCACUUAUCUUUCAUCCCUUUGCUUUCUAGCUUUCACAAUUCUCUUGCCGUUUCUUUCUCUCUUGCUCUUUGACCUUGUUGAUGCGUGCCUUAAUUUUUUUCUUUUACUUUCAUUUUAGUGAGGUUGCAGGAGAGUGAGCAGUUAUUCAACCUACUAUGUAUAACCACAAGUCCUCUUGUGAUCUCUAAAAGUAGUUUUCUCAGGAGCAAAAGCACAAGAGCAGGGUUGUCAUGUACAGUUGCUCAGUUUCUAUAGUGCACAACUCUAAGGGAGACUAUUCCUGUCAUAUGUUUUGACAAAUGUCUAGCAAAUCACACUAAAGUGUCUUGUUCUGUAAAAAUAAGUAUAACAUAGCAAUUGUUUAAUAGAUAGAAAUAAUGGGAUUUAGUCUAAUAAUUAAUAAUGAAUUUAUUCUAAUAAAUAAUCGGGAAGGGAUUACUUUUUCUAAAUUCAUGCAAAAGAGACAUGUGCUAAUGACUGUUCUGAGCAAGGGAUUUGAGCUGAGACUUCUGAAUUUAAAGAUGUUUCUGAGUCUUCUGGUUUACGUUGGCCCAGACUGCCUUCCAAAAAUGGGCUGAGCAGAGUCUGAGAGUGCCAAGCAAACAGGGAGUUUCAACAGGUGGCCUCGCAGUAGUCUGAUCAGGAUUUUUAAAACGUCUUCUGUGAGGGAAAUAACCGAAAUUUUCUAGCCAACAUGGUGAAAUAAAAUCUUCCUAAUUGGUAAUAGUUGUAGACAAAUUUGUAUUUAAAAAUAAAAUCAGCAGCAGAUUUCUGGUUGAAAGUCAGUUGGCUUAGAGAUCCUGACAGGACCUCUCCUAACUUCCUACUCAAAUAACUAUAAAGACAGCAAAAAGAGUGAACAUUUGUGCAAAACCCAAACUCACAGCCAACCUAUUGCCAGAAUCCUGGAAGAACGUUUCCCAAUAAUGAGGUCUCUGGGGUGGACCUAGACAUCAAAAUCAAUGCCCUAGGUGUGCAUUGCCAGCUGAAAUGGAACUCAACGGACUGCGUCAAAGAGGGAGGGAGAACUAUGGGGCCUGGCUCAGAGAUCCAGGGUGCAUAUAAAAGCCCAAGUUCAGUUCAGUUCAGUGGCUCAGUCGUGUCUGACUCUUUGUGACCCCACGGACUGCCGUACUCCAAGCCUCCCUGUCCA